rnacentral:miRNA from 1 species
UUUCGAAUUCGAACUUUGUUUU